ACCGGCAGCUCAAGUGGUGGCCAUUUUUAUUGGGCCUAAAGCGUUCGUAGCCGGUUUGAUAAGUCUCUGGUGAAAUCCCGCAGCUUAACUGUGGGACUUGCUGGAGAUACUAUUAGACUUGAGGUCGGGAGAGGUUAGGGGUACUCCCAGGGUAGGGGUAAAGGCCUAUAAUCCUGGGAGGACCACCUGAGGCGAGGGACUGGAACUGGAAUGAACCCCACGUUUGGUCACGAAAUUCAGUGGUGUGGCUCG
rnacentral:rRNA from 1 species